GACGAACGCUGGCGGCGUGCUUAACACAUGCAAGUCGAACGGAAAGGCCCCUUUGGGGGUUCUCGAGUGGCGAACGGGUGAGUAACACGUGAGUAACCUGCCCUUGACUUCGGGAUAACUUCAGGAAACUGGGGCUAAUACCGGAUAGGUAUCAUUGCUGCAUGGUGGGUGUUGCAAAGCUUCGGCGGUUUUGGAUGGACUGGGGGCUUACCAGCUUGAUGGUGGAGUAGUGGUUUACCAAGGCUGUGACGGGUAGCCGGCCUGGGAGGGCGACCGGCCACAAUGGGACUGAGAGACGGCCCAGACGGCAACGGGAGGCAGCAGUGGGGAAUAUUGCAGAAUGGGCGGAAGCCUGAUGCAGAAACGCCGCGUGCGGGAUGACGGCCUUCGGGUUGAAAACCGCUUUCAGCAGGGGCGAAGCUUGUGGUGACGGUACCUGCAGAAGAAGCACCGGCUAACUACGUG
rnacentral:rRNA from 1 species